rnacentral:rRNA from 1 species
AGUGAACGCUGGCGGUAGGCCUAACACAUGCAAGUCGAACGGCAGCACAGUAAGAGCUUGCUCUUACGGGUGGCGAGUGGCGGACGGGUGAGGAAUACAUCGGAAUCUACUUUUUCGUGGGGGAUAACGUAGGGAAACUUACGCUAAUACCGCAUACGACCUACGGGUGAAAGCAGGGGAUUUUCGGACCUUGCGCGAUUGAAUGAGCUGAUGUCGGAUUAGCUAGUCGGCGGGGUAAAGUCCCACCAAGGCGACGAUCCGUAGCUGGUCUGAGAGGAUGAUCAGCCACACUGGAACUGAGACAAGGUGCAGACUCCUACGGGAGGCAGCAGUGGGGAAUAUUGGACCAUGGGCGGAAGACUGAUCCAGCCAUGCCGCGUGGGUGAAGAAGGCCUUCGGCUUGUAAAGAACUUUUGUCGGGAAGGAAAAGCAGCAGGUUAAUACCUCGCUGUUCUGACGGUAGCCAAAGAAUAAGCACCGGCUAACUUCGUG